rnacentral:lncRNA from 1 species
AGAAAUUUAAAGUACCUUUCUAGUAUUAUCUGUACACCAAAUGUUAUUUACUUUGUGCAUCUGACUGACACUUACAGAUAUGAUCAAAGCCACUGGAUAAUACGUUUGCAUGAACACGUUAGGGCAAGCCAACAUUCCUCAGACUACUCUCUGCAGUUAAUAUCAUCUAAAUUUCUGUUAAGGAUCCAGUGCAAUACGCUGACUCCUCAGUUACGUAUUGAUAGUGAUCAUUUUACACUAGUAAAAGAAAAAAAAAAUGAUGCUGUUCCUGACAGGGAAAUGAAAGAAAACAGAUGAUGGUGAUGUGAAUCUUACAGUUCCAUGCUCCUAGCGCCAGUGGAUGUGCAUAUGGACAAUCUGGAAACUUACAAAGCUCCUACAUUUUCAGAAGGAAGAAAGGAACAUGAAUUCUUGCCUGCCUUGAUAAAAUGCAGCAUUAUGGCUUGUCCAAAAGCUGUCAUCUGUCAGAGAUAACUUACGUUGACACUUGGAAUUAGAUAAGUCACACUUUACUCAGUCUAACAUAAAACAAUCCUAAUGUCUGGAGUCUCAAAAACAAUACCAGUUUGGCAGCCUUACUAGCAUUUCUGGUGAUAGCUCCAUACAAACUGACAACUACCUUGUGAAAACUGUAACAAAAUAAGGACUUAUUCAACAUACUUUCAUUUCCCUAUGUGUAAAAUAAUUCAGGCAAACACACUGCAAACAAGUUAUUCCAAUAGCAACAAAAAAUAAACACUUCUAUGUUCACUCUUCUGGAAAUUAAUUGACGUGGGACACACUGGAAGUUUUACAAAAAGAAAACCACUUAAAUAGCGAGAAGCAUGUAUUUAAUUAAAUGCUUUGCAAAGAUACAUGAAUAAAGCUAUGUGCAUGACUUUCUUUAGGGAUGGCCCCAGAUGUUUAUUUUUUUAUUUUUUUAAAGAAACAAACAACAAACUUGGAGAGCACAGAUGCAAUUAAGAAAUAAAAAACUAAGUUAUUUUGUACCCACAUACUUUACAAAAUAAAGCAUGCUGGUGGUACAAAACAAUUUAUACACUGUAUGACCAACAAAUAAAUGCACUGUAACAUUAUUCUCUCAAACACUGUAAGCCUAACAGCUAAACUCUGAAAACAAUAUUGAGUCAGCAUCUUUAUUUCAUCAGCCUUCUACAGAGCCAUUUAGCACCAUCAAUUUUUGUUUUGUUUUGUUUUUGCCCUGCCUAUUACCUUUCUCAAAAUAAUAACAGACGCAUAGCACCUUUCAAUACCUAAAAUAACAAUAUGAAUAUUAAAUGCAUCCCAACUUUCAGAGAUGAGGUAGCUCACGCUAAGAAAUGGUGGAAUUUUCUUGCCUUGACAGUUAAAGACCAGCAAGUCAAAAAUUACUGGUAAUGCAUGUCUGGAUGCCAGCUAAAAAUCAGUGAUUUCUAAAAUUUCUCUCUCUUUAUUAGCAAUUGGUCUGGUAUACAUGUGAAUGAUUGGCAACAUACAUAAAUUGGGACCGUUUAUAAGACACUGGCAUGAUUUGAUAUGUAAUGGCUUAUUAGAUAGGCAAGUAUUGGGAAAAAAAAUCAGCAACUGUUGGGUUUAAUAUAUAUUUCAAUGAUCAAUAAUAAUUUAAUGGAAUUGCACAAAUACAUUGUGAAAAGUGAAAUUAGGCCACAAAAUUUAAGAAAUGGGACACUAAUUCUGAAAUCUUGUAUUUACCCCAGUAGUACUUCUACAUAAAUUAAUCGUGGCUGUUGAAUACUCUUAUGAGCAGACUAUUAUAUAGGAAAGUGCAAGAAAGACAAUGCCAGAUUCAGAUGAUCCUGUCCAAGAGAUUUCUGUCUGCAAGAGGUGUGAAUAGCUAUUAUGCUGGCAACCACAGGAAGAUAAACUGGGGUAGAGAGAGUAGAUAUGACUGAAAUAUAGCCAACAGUUCACAAAAGUGCUCCACUUAUCUGUUAUUUGUUAUGCAUCCAAGCAAAAGAAAUGACCAUUAGAGCUUUACAUAGUCCCACAUAAAAACUAUCUACUUCCAAUACCUGCAAAUUCUGAAGUAAUCUGAAAGAAAAGCGAGGAAAAGGAUUCAUGUUAUUUUUAAAAGGUGGUCACUGUUACUCUUAUAAUUGUACUUCUGCACAAAAAGUUGGUUCAACCAUUUAAAACGGAAGGUUUGCAAGUAAAAUAAAUAUUCAAAAAGAGGCUGGGCAUUUAGAAACUGUAUAUACAGUGCUGAUCCAAUAUCAGCCAUUACUUCAAGAGUCUCAGGAUUAACUUCAAUCAGUCUAAGUUCAUGAGUUUAAUUGCUGUUGCGGCUGAGUACUGUGUUAUUUCCCCCCUUCCUCUUACACAAAACAAACUGGCCCAAUUUCAAUUCCAAAUUCCUGGUCAGUGCUGCCAACAUCCACUGGUGCGAUAUCUAUGAUAGGCAACCGUGCCACGUUCUGCGUUCGGUACUCAAAGACCGUCUUGCCCACGUUGCCAUUACGUUUAGAACAGCUGUCUUGAAGAACAGUGUAUCUGAAUCGGCUGUUUCCCUCCGCCUUGAUCUCCAGGUCAUUGGCCCCUUUCAGAAUGACAGCUUUCUUGAGGUUCUUAGUUUGGUCAUCCAUGUACCCAACACUGUUCUUACAGAGGAUGAAGAAAUGUAGACGGCCUGCAGCAGAGAUCAUCUGGGAGAAUUUUGGCCAUUUAGCUCUGAAACUGAAAGGUGGAAUGAAAUAGUGCUUGACAACAACCUCAACUGAAGUGAGAAAAGUCAAGCUGAGAAAGCCCUUUUAUAGUGUACCGCCUACAUUGCAACUUCAGCAGCUUGUUUUCUAUAGGUUGUGUACUGUAUGUAGAAGUGUCGUCAACAGCCAGUUUGACUAUAUAAAAUACAUUUGCAUAUAGACAUCCAUCACAUAAUUAGCUUCCUGAAAAUGUUUUAUGAUGUAGCA